rnacentral:rRNA from 1 species
UACGAAGGGGGCUAGCGUUGCUCGGAAUCAUUGGGCGUAAAGAGCUCGUAGGCGGUUUGGCAAGUCGGGUGUGAAAACUCCGGGCUCAACUCGGAGACGCCACUCGAUACUGCCAUGACUCGAGUCCGGUAGGGGAGUGCGGAAUUCCUGGUGUAGCGGUGAAAUGCGCAGAUAUCAGGAGGAACACCGGUGGCGAAGGCGGCACUCUGGGCCGGUACUGACGCUGAGGAGCGAAAGCCAGGGGAGCGAACGGG